UACGAAGGGGGCUAGCGUUGCUCGGAAUAACUGGGCGUAAAGGGUGCGUAGGCGGACUGUUAAGUCGGUGGUGAAAGCCCAGGGCUCAACCCUGGAAUUGCCUUCGAUACUGGCAGUCUCGAGUUUGGAAGAGGUUGGUGGAACUGCGAGUGUAGAGGUGAAAUUCGUAGAUAUUCGCAAGAACACCAGUGGCGAAGGCGGCCAACUGGUCCAAUACUGACGCUGAGGCACGAAAGCGUGGGGAGCAAACAGG
rnacentral:rRNA from 1 species